GAUGAACGCUGGCGGCGUGCCUAAUACAUGCAAGUCGAGCGAACGGACGAGAAGCUUGCUUCUCUGAUGUUAGCGGCGGACGGGUGAGUAACACGUGGAUAACCUACCUAUAAGACUGGGAUAACUUCGGGAAACCGGAGCUAAUACCGGAUAAUAUUUUGAACCGCAUGGUUCAAAAGUGAAAGACGGUCUUGCUGUCACUUAUAGAUGGAUCCGCGCUGCAUUAGCUAGUUGGUGAGGUAACGGCUUACCAAGGCAACGAUGCAUAGCCGACCUGAGAGGGUGAUCGGCCACACUGGAACUGAGACACGGUCCAGACUCCUACGGGAGGCAGCAGUAGGGAAUCUUCCGCAAUGGGCGAAAGCCUGACGGAGCAACGCCGCGUGAGUGAUGAAGGUCUUCGGAUCGUAAAACUCUGUUAUUAGGGAAGAACAUAUGUGUAAGUAACUGUGCACAUCUUGACGGUACCUAAUCAGAAAGCCACGGCUAACUACGUGCCAGCAGCCGCGGUAAUACGUAGGUGGCAAGCGUUAUCCGGAAUUAUUGGGCGUAAAGCGCGCGUAGGCGGCUUUUUAAGUCUGAUGUGAAAGCCCACGGCUCAACCGUGGAGGGUCAUUGGAAACUGGAAAACUUGAGUGCAGAAGAGGAAAGUGGAAUUCCAUGUGUAGCGGUGAAAUGCGCAGAGAUAUGGAGGAACACCAGUGGCGAAGGCGACUUUCUGGUCUGUAACUGACGCUGAUGUGCGAAAGCGUGGGGAUCAAACAGGAUUAGAUACCCUGGUAGUCCACGCCGUAAACGAUGAGUGCUAAGUGUUAGGGGGUUUCCGCCCCUUAGUGCUGCAGCUAACGCAUUAAGCACUCCGCCUGGGGAGUACGACCGCAAGGUUGAAACUCAAAGGAAUUGACGGGGACCCGCACAAGCGGUGGAGCAUGUGGUUUAAUUCGAAGCAACGCGAAGAACCUUACCAAAUCUUGACAUCCUUUGACAACUCUAGAGAUAGAGCCUUCCCCUUCGGGGGACAAAGUGACAGGUGGUGCAUGGUUGUCGUCAGCUCGUGUCGUGAGAUGUUGGGUUAAGUCCCGCAACGAGCGCAACCCUUAAGCUUAGUUGCCAUCAUUAAGUUGGGCACUCUAAGUUGACUGCCGGUGACAAACCGGAGGAAGGUGGGGAUGACGUCAAAUCAUCAUGCCCCUUAUGAUUUGGGCUACACACGUGCUACAAUGGACAAUACAAAGGGCAGCGAAACCGCGAGGUCAAGCAAAUCCCAUAAAGUUGUUCUCAGUUCGGAUUGUAGUCUGCAACUCGACUACAUGAAGCUGGAAUCGCUAGUAAUCGUAGAUCAGCAUGCUACGGUGAAUACGUUCCCGGGUCU
rnacentral:rRNA from 1 species